AGCCCCUGGCGAUGGGCAAAGAGACACCUUGUUGGCAUUGUCAGUCUUCUGUCAGUGAGGGAAAGAGCAGAUGGCAGCCCGUUGUCCAUCCUAGCUUGAUGCCCGGCUUGAUGGCCGAAGCUGUCUUAUGCCUAGGACUCAUAA